GGAGAGAUGGCUGAGUGGCUGAAGGCGCUCCCCUGCUAAGGGAGUAAGGGUUAAUAGCCCUUCGAGGGUUCGAAUCCCUCUCUCUCCGCCA
rnacentral:tRNA from 1 species